GGUUCCACAGUGUAGCGGUUAGCCCAUUUGCUUUACACGCAGAAGGUCCUGGGUUCACACUCCAGUGGAACCA
rnacentral:tRNA from 1 species